rnacentral:lncRNA from 1 species
AAUAAUAAUGACGAAUAAUAUAAAUUUGUAUAUAUAUUGAGACACAUAUGAAUAAACGAAUAAACAUAAUGCCUAAAGCCUAAUAAUAACGAAAAUAUGAGUGAAUAAGAAACGUAAAUAACUAAGUAAUGAGGAAAUAAGUAAAUAACUAAGUAAUGAGAAAAUAUGUACAGUUGCCCCUCUUUGCUUGUUGUCGUGUAACGAGAAUAAAGCAAAGACUCUUAAGAAAGAUCCGUUUGGCCCAGCCACGUCGAGUCUUGACUUCUUUGGUGCUCCUCUUUUUUAGGUAACAUCAUUCAGC